GAUGAACGCUAGCUACAGGCUUAACACAUGCAAGUCGAGGGACCGGCGCACGGGUGAGUAACACGUAUCCAACCUGCCCUUUACUCGGGGAUAGCCUUUCGAAAGAAAGAUUAAUACCCGAUAUAAAGGAUGGGGAUGCGUUCCAUUAGGUUGUUGGUGAGGUAACGGCUCACCAAGCCUUCGCUGGAUAGGGGUUCUGGGAGGAAGCGACCACACAAUGGAACUGAGACCCGGUCCAAAAGCCUACGGGAGGCAGCAGUGAAGUAUAUUGGUCCAGUAGCGCUAGCCUGAACCAGCCAAGUAUAGUGAAGAAGGAAGGCUUAUGGAUCGUCAACUUCUUGUAUAUAAGAAUCUGUAUUAGAUGAAUAAGGAUCGGCUAACUCCGUGCCAGCAGCCGCGGUAAUUC
rnacentral:rRNA from 1 species